rnacentral:lncRNA from 1 species
AAAUACCUUGCAGGGUGCUGCCGAUGACUCAAAUUUGAAUAUGGUCAGAAAUUUGAACAAGCAAUUAGAAGCAGCUACGGAAAAUACUUCAACGGCAUCCUCCUCUUCUCAAAUUGAUCUGUGGAAGUGAAUUAAACUCCUCCUACUUAAGACAAGUACAUAUUGAUCAUAGGAAUUAGUACAGUUCUUUGUUGACUAAAUAACAAGUAUUAUUUGUACAUAAUAAUACUACUAAGAAAGACUAUAUAUAUGACCCUUCCACUAAUAUUAAGUUAAGAGAAAAUGAAUUAACCGCUUGGUGAUGAAAGAAUAUAUAGGUGAAUUAUAUAUGCAGCCAUCUUUAUUAGCUGCUUGAGAUGUAAUUGAAGCAUUUUCAUUUUGUCAGGCAUGGCUAUCGAUGUUAUGGUAUGAUAGCUACUGCUUUGGUUAUGUAAACCAGUGGAUAUUUCGAAUGUGUUUAAAUGUUACAUUAUGUAGUGAUAUUAGAAUAAUAAUAUCCGUGUUUUAUUUUUUGAAUUUAUUUUAUAUUGGUAUUCAUCCAGUUAAAGGAACUCCAAAAGGUCCUAAAUGGGAAAGUAAUUUCCAAUAUCAGUUCUUGGUUUACUUUAGCAAAAUUUUUGUAUCCACAAGCUAAGUAAGGGGUAAAAAUUAAACUGGACCAUUGAGUUCCAAGCCUAAAGUCGGAAAAGGCUUAAUUAACUUGGCAAUAUGGUGUCAAAAAGACAACCCAUAAGUACUUUCUAGAGCUGAUUAAAUACCAAUUUGGGGAAUCAUAGCUCAAUAGGUUGGCUACCUAAAUUUCACCUUGUCUGUGAGAGUUCAAUUACCCCUCUAUGUAAUUCCUUUCACCCGUUUCCCUUCUCCUACCCCCUUAUAUAUAAUUUUAUUUUAUUUUAAAAAAACCCAAUUUCAAAAUUUUUAAGAAAAAGUAGAUCUAUUUUCCUUAUUAAAGUUUAACUAUAUAUGUCACUCCAUUAUAUAUGGGUAAAGCAUUUAUAAACAUGCAUUGCUUAUAGGUUAAGUCUGUCUUUGGUUAAUUUUUUUUUUUCUUUUGGAAAAGAAAAAUGAUUUAUUUUUCCGGCUUAAUUUGCGGUCCAUCAGCGGAUGAAUAUAUUACGUAACUUUGAAGGUGAGACUUAUCCGGUUCAUCGGUACUCUUGGCAGCUUGAACUGCAAUUGCUUUGCUUAAAGACUUGUUGUUUCUUCAGUCUUCACAGCAAAGAAAAUAAUCUAGUAAUACUCUGAAAAUAUUUACCAGAUCGAAAGAUCACGACUCGAAGUCCAAGUUAUGCAUGCAUGCCACUGUACUAUUACCUCUAAAGGACAUUUAUGUAGCUUGAAGAACAAUUAAAUCCAUCUAUAACAACAAGCAGGGGCGGAUUUAGGGGGGCUGAAGGGGUUCACCCGAGCCCCUUCGCCGAAAAAUUACACUGUAUAUAAGGCAAAAUCUGAUUUUUACCUCUAUAUAUUAAGUUUUGAACCCUCUUAACACAACUCAAAAGUGUAGUUUAGUGGUCAAGAGGGUUCAAAACUUUUAUAAGGUUAUAGGUUCAAUUCCCACUAGCUACAAUUUUUUUUGAACCCCAUCGUGGAGAUUCUAAAGAUUUUUUUACAAUAACUUGUACUAAAUAAUAUUUAUCAUAAAGAAUUAAUUACCCGUAAUUAUUAACUAACUUUUAAACUGAGCUGAUUGUGUAACAUUUUUAUAUUGCAUGCAUAGAAUUUAAACAAAAGAACCAACAACAACAACAACAGUAGAAGCUUUCGUAUCAAACAAAAGGUAUUCCUCUGUUCCUUUCUGGGAGAAGCUAGAAAGAAAAAAGAGGAGGAUGAGAUGGUCUUUUUCCAACAUGUUGACAUGCAGAUGUAAGCAAAUACUUAAACGGUGAAACUUGUUCUCAGUCUCAGUUCCUUUUUCUAAAGUAUAUUUGCUUAAUUACCAAAUAUCUCCUCAGAGUUGAAAUUUGAAAACGAGAACGUAACAUUAUCCUUAAGAAUAUAUAUAUAUAUACAUAUACCAAAGGAAAAAAAGAGGUUAAGCAAGAUAGUGACAACGAUACUUACAAAAACCUUUUCUCAACAUGCAUCAGCUAGAAAUCCUCUGAACUGAUGAACCAAGAGAAAAAUGAAGGGAAGUCAGAGUUGAUUGUAGAAAAUCUUGUGGAUUAAAUACCAUGAAAAGGUGGGACUAAUUGGGACAUGGCUUUGAUAAUUUCAAGCAAAGGUAAAAAAAAUUCCAUACUCAUUAAGUAUGUUCCCAACUCAUUGACCGAGAGAGGACAGUAAUAUAUGUCAAUCAAUACUAUAGAAUGGUAUCCUAGGAUGAAAAGAAGAAUUAUCUUAAGUCUGAAAAAGUGCGGAUUCUAGGAGUCAAAAACAUUGGUGUGUAUACGCAUGACAUGAAGAUGAUGAGCACCUGGG